rnacentral:rRNA from 1 species
AACGAACGCUGGCGGCGUGCUUAACACAUGCAAGUCGAACGGAUUCAUAUUGGGUAGCAAUACCUGAUGUGAAUUAGUGGCGGACGGGUGAGUAACACGUAGGUAACCUACCCUUGAGUGGGGGACAACCCAGGGAAACUUGGGCUAAUACCCCAUAAGACCACGGGGUGUGAAUCUUGUGGUAAAAGUAGCAAUACGCUCAUGGACGGGCCUGCGGCCUAUCAGGUAGUUGGUGAGGUAACGGCCCACCAAGCCAAAGACGGGUAGCCGGGCUGAGAGGUUGAACGGCCACACUGGAACUGAGACACGGUCCAGACUCCUACGGGUGGCAG